rnacentral:rRNA from 1 species
UGGGGAAUAUUGGACAAUGGGCGCAAGCCUGAUCCAGCCAUGCCGCGUGAGUGAUGAAGGCCAUAGGGUUGUAAAGCUCUUUCACCGGUGAAGAUAAUGACGGUAACCGGAGAAGAAGCCCCGGCUAACUUCGUGCCAGCAGCCGCGGUAAUACGAAGGGGGCUAGCGUUGUUCGGAUUUACUGGGCGUAAAGCGCACGUAGGCGGACUUUUAAGUCAGGGGUGAAAUCCCGGGGCUCAACCCCGGAACUGCCUUUGAUACUUGAAGUCUUGAGUAUGGUAGAGGUGAGUGGAAUUCCGAGUGUAGAAGUGAAAUUCGUAGAUAUUCGGAGGAACACCAGUGGCGAAGGCGGCUCACUGGACCAUUACUGACGCUGAGGUGCGAAAGCGUGGGGAGCAAACAGG